rnacentral:lncRNA from 1 species
CCACUGGUGUCCCCCAGGGCUCAGUUCUAGGCCCUCUCCUAUUCUCGCUAUACACCAAGUCACUUGGCUCUGUCAUAUCCUCACAUGGUCUCUAUCAUUGCUACGCAGACGACACACAAUUAAUCUUCUCCUUUCCCCCUUCUGAUAACCAGGUGGCGAAUCGCAUCUCUGCAUGUCUGGCAGACAUAUCAGUGUGGAUGACGGAUCACCACCUCAAGCUGAACCUUGGCAAGACGGAGCUGCUCUUCCUCCCGGGGAAGGACUGCCCGUUCCAUGAUCUCGCCAUCACGGUUGACAACUCCAUUGUGUCCUCCUCCCAGAGUGCUAAGAGCCUUGGCGUGACCCUGGACAACACCCUGUCGUUCUCCGCUAACAUCAAGGCGGUGACCCGAUCCUGUAGGUUCAUGCUCUACAACAUUCGCAGAGUACGACCCUGCCUCACACAGGAAGCGGCGCAGGUCCUAAUCCAGGCACUUGUCAUCUCCCGUCUGGAUUACUGCAACUCGCUGCUGGCGGGGCUCCCUGCAUGUGCCAUUAAACCCCUACAACUCAUCCAGAACGCCACAGCCCGUCUGGUGUUCAACAUUCCCAAGUUCUCUCACGUCACCACGCUCCUCCGCACACUCCACUGGCUUCCAGUUGAAGCUCACAUCCACUACAAGACCAUGGUGCUUGCCUACGGAGCUGUGAGGGGAACGGCACCUCCGUACCUUCAGGCUCUGAUCAGUCCCUACACCCAAAGAAGGGCACUGCAUUCAUCCACCUCUGGCCUGCUCGCCUCCCUACCUCUGCGGAAGCAUAGUUCCCGCUCAGCCCAGUCAAAACUGUUCGCUGCUCUGGCACCCCAAUGGUGGAACAAGCUCCCUCACGACGCCAGGACAGCGGAGUCAAUCACCACCUUCCGGAGACACCUGAAACCCCACCUCUUUAAGGAAUACCUGGGAUAGGAUAAAGUAAUCCUUCUAACCCACCCCCCCCCCCACCAAAAAAUAUAUAGAUGUGCUAUUGUAAAGUGGUU